ensembl:lncRNA
CAUUAUCAUUCAUGCAGAAUAUCUGCUUUUGUUUGCUGAAAUCAGUGUGAGUAACAGCAUGAAUUACACAUUAUUGCUUUUGCAGGAGUAUUUCCGCAUUCCUCUAUCUCAUCUGAGAUCAGUGCUCAGUGCAGCAGACAGCAUAAUCGUGAGGGAGAUUCUGCUGUACUAUAACAGGAACACAGCCACUUUGCAGCUAACAGAUGAUUACCUGCACACCAUGGUGUCUGUGCUUUUCCAAAUACACCUGCCCAAGGAUAUUAGCCUGUUUUCUGACAUGGGUAUUUUGUUGGCUCUAGCUACACCUUCAGACAUCUUGUCAAUGCCGCUACAAAAUAAUAUCAAUGCGUUAAGCAUAAUUAACUUCAGCAUAAAAAACCUUUCCCUGGAGCAGCAGCAAGCGUUUGGUCGGUGGUUCAGUCAGUCCAUGAGCUUACCUAACAUGACAGCCGGCAGCUUAUCCGUUAUCAGAGACACUGGUAACCUGAUCGCCUAUCUGCCCUUUCAGAGCUUCCAGUACUUCUCACCUGCUCAGGUAACAGCCCAUCACCUCACAAAGAUACCUGAACCCAUCUGGCUCCAGUUAACCCUCAGGCAGCUCAUCUGGGGAAAAUGCCAAUGCUUGCCACAGGUUCAUUGUAACAGACAUGCCCUUGUAGUCUGUUUUCAAUAAAUAAACGCAGAAAUGCAUGAAUUUAGAAUGGCUGUGUGGUGGACUGUGGUGCUAACACCGUAAUGAAGAGUUCUUCACUACUGUUCAUAUAAACAGGAUAUUUCAGAAUUCUCAAAUUUAAUACGAAAUAUAUAGAAUGGUUCAUAUUUCAUACACCAGACAAAAUGAGUGUACGAUUUACCUUGAAGCACUCAGAAAUUGCUAGUCAGUUUCACAAAUAAUGCAAUAAAGUAAGAAAUCAUUUUGAAGUCA